GACGAACGCUGGCGGCGUGCUUAACACAUGCAAGUCGAACGGAAAGGCCCUGCUUUUGUGGGGUGCUCGAGUGGCGAACGGGUGAGUAACACGUGAGUAACCUGCCCUUGACUUUGGGAUAACUUCAGGAAACUGGGGCUAAUACCGGAUAGGAGCUCCUGCUGCAUGGUGGGGGUUGGAAAGUUUCGGCGGUUGGGGAUGGACUCGCGGCUUAUCAGCUUGUUGGUGGGGUAGUGGCUUAUCAAGGCUUUGACGGGUAGCCGGCCUGAGAGGGUGACCGGCCACAUUGGGACUGAGAUACGGCCCAGACUCCUACGGGAGGCAGCAGUGGGGAAUAUUGCACAAUGGGCGGAAGCCUGAUGCAGCAACGCCGCGUGCGGGAUGACGGCCUUCGGGUUGUAAACCGCUUUCGCCUGUGACGAAGCGUGAGUGACGGUAAUGGGUAAAGAAGCACCGGCUAACUACG
rnacentral:rRNA from 1 species